rnacentral:rRNA from 1 species
GACGAACGCUGGCGGCGUGCUUAACACAUGCAAGUCGAACGGGUCUGCCCUGUUUUUUGCGGGGUGGGUCAGUGGCGAACGGGUGAGUAACACGUGAGUAACCUGCCCCUCACUUCUGGAUAACCGCUUGAAAGGGUGGCUAAUACGGGGUGUUCUGGCUGUGCCGCAUGGUGUGGCUGGGAAAGAUUCACUUUUGUGGUGUUUUGGUGGGGGAUGGGCUCGCGGCCUAUCAGCUUGUUGGUGGGGUGAUGGCCUGCCAAGGCUUUGACGGGUAGCCGGCCUGAGAGGGUGGGCGGUCACACUGGGACUGAGAUACGGCCCAGACUCCUGCGGGAGGCAGCAGUGGGGGGUAUUGCACAAUGGGCGGAAGCCUGAUGCAGCGACGUCGCGUGAGGGAUGGAGGCCUUCGGGUUGUGAACCUCUUUCGCCGGUGAAGGAGGUCCUGCUCUUUGUGGUGGGGUUGACGGUAGCCGGGUUAUGAAGCGCCGGCUAACUACGUG